rnacentral:rRNA from 1 species
GCGGAGGAAAAGAAAAUAACAAUGAUUCCCCCAGUAACGGCGAGUGAAGAGGGAAGAGCUCAAAGUUGGAACCUGUUUGGCUUAGCUAAACCGGAUUGUAAACUGGAGAAGUGUUUUCCUGGCACGCCAGACCGAUAAGUCCUUUGGAACAGGGCAUCAUAGAGGGUGAGAAUCCCGUGCUCGGUCUGAGCUGUUGUCUUUUGUGAUACACUUUCAAAGAGUCAGGUUGUUUGGGAAUGCAGCCUAAAUUGGGUGGUAAAUCUCACCUAAAGCUAAAUAUUGGCGAGAGACCGAUAGCGAACAAGUACCGUGAGGGAAAGAUGAAAAGAACUUUGAAAAGAGAGUUAAACAGUAUGUGAAAUUGUUGAAAGGGAACCGUUUGGAGCCAGACUGGCUUUGUCGUGAUCAAUCUGGGUUUCGACCUUGAUGCACUGACGGCAGAUGCCUGCCAUCGACAGUUUUGUUUGAAGGAAAAAACUAAAGGGAAUGUGGCCUCUCGGGGUGUUAUAGCCUUUUAGAAAAUACUUCGAAUGGGACUGAGGAACGCAGUGGAUGCCUUUGGCGAAGUUGCUAGGCGCUUUUGUUGAUAAAUGCUGGAAUUUCUGCUUUGGGUGGUGCCAGUGUUUAAAGAUAGAACUCGUUUGGUAUAUUUUCUAUCCACUUAUGUUGAUGGCUUAAUGACUCUAAAUGAC